CACGGCCCAUUACAUUAAUCCCUUUUUAUUUCCCAGGAAACAAAAAAAGUCUAGAACCCUAAAGAUCUCUCAUGCGGUCACACCUCUUCCUCGAAAUCCCAAUAUGUUUUAGGCUUUUUUCGACAAUAUUCUAGAUCAUCAAGGCCAUUUUUUAUUAAAAAAAUUUCAUUAGAAAAUGUUCUUAUCACAUUUUUUUUUUUUUAUUCUCAUUUGUUCUGUGUAUGAAUAAAAACGAAGACGGAGUGAUCUCUCUUCAUUUCAUUGAUAUAUCUAAAGAUACCCCAAGAAUUCGAAAUCUUUUUAUCAUCCCAGAUUGUCCAAAUCAGUCAAAAACCCCUCAAGAAUUCUCCUAUAUAUAGCCCCACAAUUCUAUUGUUUGUGAGUGAACAAUUUGAUAGUUGAAAACCCUCUAGAACUCCUUUGAGCAUGAAAUUUUGAUUGAGAAUGAAGAAUUUUAUUGUGGAGUCGAGUCCGGUGAAGUGCAACUCGUGGUGAGCUGUUCCCAAAGAGGUACUUUAAUGGCUAAGAUAAGUUUGAGGAGACUUUGUAAGCAAGAAGACGAUCAUGAGUUGGUCGAAGUUCGAUGAAAACAUGGACAUGUUUUGCCUUUGAUGACUUCAUGGAGCUCAAGAAAUCUAGAAUGCUAGAUCAUGCGAUUUUUGGCUUUGGAAGCAUGAUUCUAUUGAUGAAAGAUCGAAAUUUGAUAUUUCUAAAUUAUUGGGAAGAAUUGGGGAGCUUGAGGAAAGAGUUGAAUCUUCGACAAAUUGUGCAUUUUUUGAACACAAAAUAGUGAUGACAAGACUACUAGGAUAACCAAAUCUGUGGAAAUCAAAAUAGAUAUGAACAAAAUAGAAUUGCAAAUGAAUAAUUUUCAGGGUGAUUUGAUGAUGAUGAAGGUAAAUGAGAAGAAAUGGAAGAUCAAGUUGGCUAAGUCCAAGAAAAGGGACAAACAACUAUGGACUACUCUCAUUUGUGCAUGUAUUUUGGGUGUUAGUUUUCUAGUUCAAUUUAUGUUCUUGAAAGGAGCUCCAAGAAGGCUUCCCUAAACUAAGUUGCUUUGUUUUUGUUAUGUUUUAAGGGCUGAAAUUUGUAUUAAUUAUUAGGUGUUACCUUUAAAAAAACU